rnacentral:rRNA from 1 species
UACGUAGGGGGCUAGCGUUGUCCGGAAUCAUUGGGCGUAAAGCGCGUGUAGGCGGUCCGGUAAGUCCGCUGUGAAAGUCGGGGGCUCAACCCUCGGAUGCCGGUGGAUACUGUCGGGCUUGAGUACGGAAGAGGCGAGUGGAAUUCCUGGUGUAGCGGUGAAAUGCGUAGAUAUCAGGAGGAACACCGGUGGCGAAGGCGGCUCUCUGGACGGUGACUGACGCUGAGACGCGAAAGCGUGGGGAGCAAACAGG